rnacentral:rRNA from 1 species
GAUGAACGCUGGCGGUGUGCCUAAUACAUGCAAGUCGAGCGAACAGACGGGGAGCUUACUCCUCUGACGUUAGCGGCGGACGGGUGAGUAACACGUGGAUAACCUACCUAUAAGACUGGGAUAACUUCGGGAAACCGGAGCUAAUACCGGAUAACAUGUUGAACCGCAUGGUUCAACAGUGAAAGACGGUCUUGCUGUCACUUAUAGAUGGAUCCGCGUCGCAUUAGCUAGUUGGUAAGGUAACGGCUUACCAAGGCAACGAUGCGUAGCCGACCUGAGAGGGUGAUCGGCCACACUGGAACUGAGACACGGUCCAGACUCCUACGGGAGGCAGCAGUAGGGAAUCUUCCGCAAUGGGCGAAAGCCUGACGGAGCAACGCCGCGUGAGUGAAGAAGGUCUUCGGAUCGUAAAACUCUGUUAUUAGGGAAGAACAAAUGUGUAAGUAACUAUGCACGUCUUGACGGUACCUAAUCAGAAAGCCACGGCUAACUACGUG